rnacentral:rRNA from 1 species
GUUGAUCCUGGCUCAGAACGAACGUGGUGGCGUGCUUAACACAUGCAAGUCGAGGGCGAACGGUGACUUCGUGUUGCCUAGUAGACCGGCGCACGGGUGAGUAACACGUGAGUACCUGCCCCAGAGUCUGGGAUAACCGCCCGAAAGGGUGGCUAAUACUGGAUAAGCUCACUCUAGUGAGAAAAGCGUAUGCGCUUUGGGAUGGGCUCGCGGCCCAUUAGGUAGUUGGUGGGGUAACGGCCUACCAAGCCUGAGAUGGGUAGCUGGUCUGAGAGGAUGAUCAGCCACACUGGGACUGAGACACGGCCCAGACUCCUACGGGAGGCAGCAGUGGGGAAUCUUGCGCAAUGGGAGCAAUCCUGACGCAGCAACGCCGCGUGUGUGAUGAAGGCCUUCGGGUCGUAAAGCACUGUCAGGGGGGAAGAAUUUUGACGGUACCUCCUGAGGAAGCACCGGCUAACUCCGUGCCAGCAGCCGCGGUAAUACGGAGGGUGCAAACGUUGUUCGGAAUCAUUGGGCGUAAAGGGCACGCAGGCGGUGUCGCAGGUCGGAAUGUGAAAGCCCGGGGCUCAACCCCGGAAUUGCGUUCGAAACCGUGGCGCUGGAGUUCUGGAGAGGGAAGCGGAAUUCCUGGUGUAGGGGUGAAAUCCGUAGAGAUCAGGAGGAAGACCGGAGGCGAAGGCGGCUUCCUGGCCAUGAACUGACGCUGAGGUGCGAAAGUGUGGGGAGCAAACAGGAUUAGAUACCCUG